rnacentral:rRNA from 1 species
GAUGAACGCUGACAGAAUGCUUAACACAUGCAAGUCGAUUCGAUUUACCUUCGGGUAUUGAGGAUGGCGGACGGGUGAGUAACGCGUAAGGAACUUGCCUCUUGGUCUGGGACAACUGUUGGAAACGACAGCUAAUACCGGAUAUUAUGAGAUUCUCGCAUGGGAAACUUAUGAAAGCUAUAUGCGCCAAGAGAGAGCCUUGCGUUCCAUUAGCUAGUUGGUGGGGUAACGGCCCACCAAGGCGACGAUGGAUAGCCGGCCUGAGAGGGUGAACGGCCACAAGGGGACUGAGACACGGCCCUUACUCCUACGGGAGGCAGCAGUGGGGAAUAUUGGACAAUGGGCCACAAGCCUGAUCCAGCAAUUCUGUGUGCACGAUGAAGGUCUUCGGAUUGUAAAGUGCUUUCAGUUGGGAAGAAGAAAGUGACGGUACCAACAGAAGAAGCGACGGCUAAAUACGUGCCAGCAGCCGCGGUAAUACGUAUGUCGCAAGCGUUAUCCGGAUUUAUUGGGCGUAAAGCGCGUCUAGGCGGAAAAAUAAGUCUGAUGUUAAAAUGCGGGGCUCAACUCCGUAUUGCGUUGGAAACUGUUUUUCUAGAGUACUGGAGAGGUGGGCGGAACUACAAGUGUAGAGGUGAAAUUCGUAGAUAUUUGUAGGANUGCCGAUGGAGAAGUCAGCUCACUGG